UUGCAUCGAAUGGGUAUAUAAGAAGGACUGUAUUAGUCCUCCUUGGAAAAAGUAAUAAUGGAGACGUAUUAAUAAAAUAUUGCAGGAGUGUGCAUUAGACUAAUUUAAUUUUCGAAUUUCGAUUAUGGAUAGGCCAGAAAAGUUGUCUUGGAGUAUGAAAAUAAGAUGUAAGGACAGCCAGAAGAUUUGCCAUCAAAUGUGCUUCCAACUAUCGGUGACAUAUUAAUAAGUUAUUUGUGGUAUCGAAUGCAACUAAAGACAACACCGAAGAAUCCGUCACAUAAACUAAUUUCUAAAACGCUUAUUUUAAAUUUUACUGGUAUAUGGGAACCAUCGUUGAUACCUAUCGUUUCUGAAACAAGAAAAUUUCAAAAGAUCGACAAUCUCCAUGAUCAAUAUAAAAGCCUACUUAAAGUGAACAAGGACAGAAAAAAUUUGGAAAGUAACGAAAGAAGAAAGGAGUUUUAUAGUAAAUCAACGUGGACUUAGAUUGAUGUUUAUUGGUGGAAUUGGUUUAUAUUAUAAAAGCAAAAUUUGAUUAUUAGCUGACGCCUAAUUAUUAAAAGGAAUGAGUUAUGAAGAGAUCUUCCGCAUCAUCUUUUACUCCAACAGUCUCAUAAGAUCAAGAUUAAGAAGCUUAAGGAUAACAACAAGAGCUUUGAGAGGGAGCAUUGAAGCCACGAGGACAAGAAAAACCUCAAAAGUGAUGUAAAGACAACUUGGCGAAUUUCUUCCCUGGUUAAUUUGGCCUCUGUCUUUACCAUACUUCAACCCCUUUGACUAUGGGAUCUGGGACAUCGUCAAAAGGAAGGCCUUUGCGCACCUCCCAUGUGAAUAUGGAUGCCCUAGCGAGUGCUGUAGAGAAGGAGUAGUCUGAUAAGUAAGAGAAAUACACGAAUAAGGCUUACUAGGCCUGCAGGACUAUGAUUGAGGCCACGUUGGUGAUUUAAUUGUUUAUAUAAAGUAAAAUAAAUAUUUAAAGUCUU
rnacentral:lncRNA from 1 species